rnacentral:rRNA from 1 species
UACGGAGGGUGCGAGCGUUGUCCGGAAUCAUUGGGCGUAAAGGGCGCGUAGGUGGCCCGGUCAGUUCGUGGUGAAAGCGCGGGGCUCAACCCUGCGUCGGCCAUGAAUACUGCCGCGGCUGGAGCACUGUAGAGGCAGGCGGAAUUCCGGGUGUAGCGGUGGAAUGCGUAGAGAUCCGGGAGAACACCGGUGGCGAAGGCGGCCUGCUGGGCAGUUGCUGACACUGAGGCGCGACAGCGUGGGGAGCAAACAGG